rnacentral:rRNA from 1 species
GAUGAACGCUGGCGGCGUGCCUAAUACAUGCAAGUCGAGCGAACGGACGAGAAGCUUGCUUCUCUGAUGUUAGCGGCGGACGGGUGAGUAACACGUGGAUAACCUACCUAUAAGACUGGGAUAACUUCGGGAAACCGGAGCUAAUGCCGGAUAAUAUUUUGAACCGCAUGGUUCAAAAGUGAAAGACGGUCUUGCUGUCACUUAUAGAUGGAUCCGCGCUGCAUUAGCUAGUUGGUAAGGUAACGGCUUACCAAGGCAACGAUGCAUAGCCGACCUGAGAGGGUGAUCGGCCACACUGGAACUGAGACACGGUCCAGACUCCUACGGGAGGCAGCAGUAGGGAAUCUUCCGCAAUGGGCGAAAGCCUGACGGAGCAACGCCGCGCGAGUGAUGAAGGUCUUCGGAUCGUAAAACUCUGUUAUUAGGGAAGAACAUAUGUGUAAGUAACUGUGCACAUCUUGACGGUACCUAAUCAGAAAGCCACGGCUAACUACGUG